rnacentral:misc_RNA from 1 species
GAUGAAGAACGCAGCGAAAUGCGAUAAGUAAUGUGAAUUGCAGAAUUCAGUGAAUCAUCGAAUCUUUGAACGCACAUUGCGCCCGCUAGUAUUCUGGCGGGCAUGCCUGUCCGAGCGUCAUUUCAACCCUCAAGCCCCCGGGCUUGGUGUUGGGGAUCGGCGAGCCUCCGCGCCCGCCGCCCCCUAAAUCUAGUGGCGGUCUCGCUGUAGCUUCCUCUGCGUAGUAGCACACCUCGCACUGGGAAACAGCGCGGCCACGCCGUUAAACCCCCAACUUCUGAACGUUUGACCUCGGAUCAGGUAGGAAUACCCGCUGAACUUAAGCAUAUCAAUAAGCGGAGGA